UCCCUGGUAGUCCAGUGGUUAGGACUCCCGCACUCUUACUACCAAGGGCCCAGGUUCAAUCCCUUGUCAGGGAA
rnacentral:tRNA from 1 species